GUGGAAAACUGUCAGUAGAGCAAGGCAAGUCCUGCUUGUGGGCUUCCACACACAGCUGGUUGCCUGCUGGACUAAGUGGGGUCAGGAUGAUCACUUAUAUUGCCUCCUAGACUGCAUAUAUGCUGAAAAUGGUAAACAGCCUGUGCUGUGUCUGCAAUAAAACCCAAGUGUCUCUCUUGCUUGCAGGCUUAAAGAAAAAAAGUAUGAAACUGGACUCUGGCCCAUGGUUAGCUAGACUGCAUUUGACAGAUAAUGCCAUAGAUGGGAGGCUUAACCAAACAGGAAAAGGCAUCUCAGAGUUCAUUGAACUUUUGACAUGUUUAAUCAGGAACUCCGACCACCUUGUGGAAGUUGAUAUGGAUGGCAAUUCUAUAGAAGAACAAUAUGCUGUCAAGAUUCUAGAAGCUCUUACUGAUCGAAAGAAAGAAGCAAUGCCGCGCUUAAAAAUUAAGGUAACUCCCCAGAUUUCAUCGGUAACCUUCAGGAAAAUUUUUGGGAGAUGCUCAAAAAUCAAUUCAACUAAAAAGAGAAAGAAAAAGGUAUCUUGAAUUUGUUUAUUUCAUUUUAUUAUUUAUUUGUAUAGACCAUUUUUACACUUCUCUCAUACUGUUUUAGAUUUUGGGGUGGUAUGCACUUAGUUGCAUGACAUUACAAAUACGCUAAUCAAAUAGUUUAAAAUCCUUAAAAAGAUGCAGCAAGAAUAAGAAUGUUUUUGCUUUUGCUGGAAAGGUAGUGUAAACUCAGUAAAAGGAUGAAUCCACUCUCAUUUUCUUUAACUAAAACACUAUCCACAUGGAGGCUGAAUGCACC
rnacentral:lncRNA from 1 species